rnacentral:rRNA from 1 species
GACGAACGCUGGCGGCGUGCUUAACACAUGCAAGUCGAACGGAAAGGCCCUGCUUUUGUGGGGUGCUCGAGUGGCGAACGGGUGAGUAACACGUGAGUAACCUGCCCUUGACUUUGGGAUAACUUCAGGAAACUGGGGCGAAUACCGGAUAUGAGCUCCUGCUGCAUGGUGGGGGUUGGAAAGUUUCGGCGGUUGGGGAUGGACUCGCGGCUUAUCAGCUUGUUGGUGGGGUAGUGGCUUACCAAGGCUUUGACGGGUAGCCCGCCUGAGAGGGUGACCGGCCACCUUGGGACUGAGAUACGGCCCAGACUCCUACGGGAGGCAGCAGUGGGGAGUAUUGCACAAUGGCCGGAAGCCUGAUGCAGAAACGCUGCGUGCGGGAUAACGGCCUUCGGGUUGUGAACCGCUUUCGACUGUGACGAAGCGUGAGUGACGGUAAUGGGUAAAGAAGCACCGGCUAACUACGUG